GAAGAUAACGAAAACACUUUAUACAAAACGUAUCUUUCUUAAGAAACGGAUAUGUAUCGGUCAAAUAUAUUCGUGCGUAUUAGCCAAAAUACGUUUUUCGUGCUGUUUAGUGUUAACAAAAAUAAACAUCAUCUUGAGAAUGUCAUCAACAACAUGCGAAUUUACGUUGUUCGUGAAAACUAUUUCCGAAACCACUCCGGACAAAGAGGUAUAAAAUAUUUGCUUAUAUACCGAGCUUGAAUACUCUUGCAUGCAAAGUAUGAUAUUAAACAAAACGCUCUAGGAGAUAUCAUAAACCAUUAUCGCAGGCGAACUUGACCACGUCUUUAUGUAAUUAUACAACGCCAGGAAAACCCAUUUCGAAAGGAUCCAAAGUAAAACAUUACAAUGAGAAAUUUAGCAACCAGGUGUUUUUUUCUCGCGUUUCUAACGAUACUGAUCGUUAGCAACAUCUCAGAGGUUAGUUGCCAGUUGUGCGAGUUAAAACCAGGUGGACGUUGCGUUGACACGUAUGUUAAGCGAGGAGGAAGAUGGCGUGCGCGUUGUGCUGGAAGGGGAGCCAGAGCAUGCAGAAUGGUUGGUAGUGGUUCUUGUCGAUGUGCUUCGACUCGACCCAUGGGACAACCUCGUCAUCGAUAGGAUGAAUGAAUGUGUGUGCGUACUAAACAUUUAAUGUUAAAUAUGUGUUCGAACUCAAAACAUAAAAGGAUUAGUCAUUUAUAUAACUAAUUGUAUCCGGAAACCUGUUAAUUGCCUAUUUUAGUGUAACAGUCUUUCGCGAGAUGAGCGACCAGUGAUGGGUACUGUAAAAACCAAAAACAUUCGGCGAAAUAACAUUUUGGUCACUUUUGCAUGAAUACGCAUUUAACCUUAGGUAAAACUAAAUGUCCUAGUUUUGGUUGCCAUACCGUACGGAACUGGAUUCAAAGCAACUUUUUAAAGUGCAAUGAAAGCGUUCAUGCUGGGAAAGUGAAAAGUGACCUGGUUUUGCAAAAACGUGAAGAUUUUGAGAUGCUGCUUAGAUUUUAAGUCUUGUUAUUUGCUGUUACAGAAAACAUUCAUUUCAGAUUGUUGUAGAAAACACAACAGUGUUAUCGUUCUUAAUUGACUAAAUUCAAGACAUGCCAUUUUUAGGAUUUAGGAAAUUAACGGGCAUUAUUUCAUUCAUUGACCUUAGCACUCACAUUGCCAUGAGGGGAUUGAACUGAAAGAAUGGAUUAUUUAUUACUUAUCUCGUCUGUUUAAGUUUAAAUAAUUUUGGUGGGCCACAUACCUACACAUGCUCUUUGACAAAACCAACGGUAUUCCACAGAGCAACUGUGUGUCCUUCGAUCUUACAUGUAAAAGCUUUGUCCGUUAAAGAUUGUUUAUCUGAGCUUGGUCAAGUGGAUUUGUACGCAGAUAACUCCUGAUUAUACUCACUGAGGGCUGGAAACAAGAGUUUUGCCUAAGAAAUGAUAAAAAGACAGUUGUAUCAUAUUUGUUAAAUGUAACCAUAUACAAUGAUAUAUUUAGUUGAUAUUGUUCAGAAAUUUAGUUUGUAGAAUUGUUAUUACCUCCAUUUUGCCUUCUAUCUUCGCAAUAAAUGUAUUCUGAAGCUAUA